AGAGUUUGAUCAUGGCUCAGGAUGAACGCUGGCGGCGUGCUUAACACAUGCAAGUCGAACGAUGAUCCCAGCUUGCUGGGGGAUUAGUGGCGAACGGGUGAGUAACACGUGAGUAACCUGCCCUUAACUCUGGGAUAAGCCUGGGAAACUGGGUCUAAUACCGGAUAUGACUCCUCAUCGCAUGGUGGGGGGUGGAAAGCUUUAUUGUGGUUUUGGAUGGACUCGCGGCCUAUCAGCUUGUUGGUGAGGUAAUGGCUCACCAAGGCGACGACGGGUAGCCGGCCUGAGAGGGUGACCGGCCACACUGGGACUGAGACACGGCCCAGACUCCUACGGGAGGCAGCAGUGGGGAAUAUUGCACAAUGGGCGAAAGCCUGAUGCAGCGACGCCGCGUGAGGGAUGACGGCCUUCGGGUUGUAAACCUCUUUCAGUAGGGAAGAAGCGAAAGUGACGGUACCUGCAGAAGAAGCGCCGGCUAACUACGUGCCAGCAGCCGCGGUAAUACGUAGGGCGCAAGCGUUAUCCGGAAUUAUUGGGCGUAAAGAGCUCGUAGGCGGUUUGUCGCGUCUGCCGUGAAAGUCCGGGGCUCAACUCCGGAUCUGCGGUGGGUACGGGCAGACUAGAGUGAUGUAGGGGAGACUGGAAUUCCUGGUGUAGCGGUGAAAUGCGCAGAUAUCAGGAGGAACACCGAUGGCGAAGGCA
rnacentral:rRNA from 1 species